rnacentral:lncRNA from 1 species
AUGCAGCGCCGGCCGCGCGCGCGCAAAGGCCGGGUGAGACGACAGCGCGUGCGCGGGAUCCGGAGCGCCACGCGCUCUCCUUCCCUUUGCACCCCUUCUGGGAGGCAGGCUCCGCCCGGUCCCUUGCUAUGCGCGUGCGCCGCGGAAUCGCUGCCCUUCCCAGGCCGGGGUUCGCGUCCACGAACUCCCGCCUCUUCGCUGUCGCUCAGCACGGGGACUUCACGUGCGCCGAGGCCGCCUCGGAGGCGGGGUCUGGUUGGGUCGCCUUUUCGAGGGCGCAGGGGAAAACACUUCUUUCCCACAUCAGAUGUUUCUUGAAGUAUGGAGUGGGUGCCACUAUCAUAACUCUCAAUACUCUAUUCCAGUGCUGCUAGCAAGUUUCCUGGUGUGUAAGUUUGGCGUGUGCAGCCCACCUUCUUCCUCUCCCCUUUCCCAUAGAAGUCAGGCCUCCCACAGACGGUGUGCCUUCUGCUCUGCUACUUCAUACCGUAAGUUUCACAGGGUUCUGCCCAUGCCAGGGGAUGUUUGGGCUAAGCUUAGCAAGAUAGGCCCUUUGGGGGAAGGGGAGCUUCAGUUUUGGGAGC